GAUGAACGCUGGCGGCGUGCCUAAUACAUGCAAGUCGAACGAAACUUCUUUAUCACCGAGUGCUUGCACUCACCGAUAAAGAGUUGAGUGGCGAACGGGUGAGUAACACGUGGGCAACCUGCCCAAAAGAGGGGGAUAACACUUGGAAACAGGUGCUAAUACCGCAUAACCAUAGUUACCGCAUGGUAACUAUGUAAAAGGUGGCUAUACUACCGCUUUUGGAUGGGCCCGCGGCGCAUUAGCUAGUUGGUAGGGUAAAGGCUUACCAAGGCAAUGAUGCGUAGCCGAAGUGAGAGGUUGAUCGGCCACAUUGGGACUGAGACACGGCCCAAACUCCUACGGGAGGCAGCAGUAGGGAAUCUUACACAAUGGGCGAAAGCCUGAUGGAGCAACGCCGCGUGGGUGAAGAAGGUCUUCGGAUCGUAAAACCCUGUUGUUAGAGAAGAAAGUGCGUGAGAGUAACUGUUCACGUUUCGACGGUAUCUAACCAGAAAGCCACGGCUAACUACGUG
rnacentral:rRNA from 1 species